rnacentral:misc_RNA from 1 species
AACGGUCUAUACCUGCGGUACCUGCGGAGGGAUCAUCAAAAAAAGAGAAGGGGGUGAAAGUUUCUUCAUCCUCUCUUUUUUAUUAAUUUUUUCUUUCUUUCCCCCCUUUUCUAUUAUAUACUCCUUCCUAGGAAGUUGUAAUUAGAGAAAAAGGGGGUGAAGAAAAGAAACUUGUCGACUUCUUGUUGUCCCCCUUUUUAGGAGAGUUUCUUUUAAAAAGGGGGGUAGACCCUUUUCCCU